rnacentral:rRNA from 1 species
GGGAGGCAGCAGUGGGGAAUAUUGGACAAUGGGGGCAACCCUGAUCCAGCCAUGCCGCGUGAGUGAUGAAGGCCUUAGGGUUGUAAAGCUCUUUCACCGGUGAAGAUAAUGACGGUAACCGGAGAAGAAGCCCCGGCUAACUUCGUGCCAGCAGCCGCGGUAAUACGAAGGGGGCUAGCGUUGUUCGGAUUUACUGGGCGUAAAGCGCACGUAGGCGGAUAUUUAAGUCAGAGGUGAAAUCCCAGGGCUCAACCCUGGAACUGCCUUUGAUACUGGGUAUCUUGAGUAUGGAAGAGGUGAGUGGAAUUCCGAGUGUAGAGGUGAAAUUCGUAGAUAUUCGGAGGAACACCAGUGGCGAAGGCGGCUCACUGGUCCAUUACUGACGCUGAGGUGCGAAAGCGUGGGGAGCAAACAGGAUUAGAUACCCCUG